rnacentral:rRNA from 1 species
UACGUAGGGGGCAAGCGUUGUCCGGAAUCAUUGGGCGUAAAGAGCGUGUAGGCGGCCUGGUAAGUCCGCUGUGAAAGUCCAGGGCUCAACCCUGGAAUGCCGGUGGAAACUGUCAGGCUCGAGUACGGAAGAGGCGAGUGGAAUUCCUGGUGUAGCGGUGAAAUGCGCAGAUAUCAGGAGGAACACCGGUGGCGAAGGCGGGUCUCUGGGCCGUAACUGACGCUGAGGAGCGAAAGCAUGGGGAGCGAACAGG